rnacentral:rRNA from 1 species
GAUUUCUACCUGACCGUCCUGGCUCGCUUUCUUUUAUCCUUAUCGAGAGCCAGGCCUAUCCUUCACUGGAUUGGGCGUGUGCGAUCGAUAUCAUUUACUUUGAAAAAAUUAGAGUGUUUAAAGCAGGCUUACGCUGUGAAUACAUUAGCAUGGAAUAAUAAUAUAGGACUUCGGUUCUAUUUUGUUGGUUUCUAGGACUGAAGUAAUGAUUGAUAGGGAUAGUUGGGGGUGCUAGUAUUCCGCGGCCAGAGGUGAAAUUCUUGGAUUCGCGGAAGACUAACUACUGCGAAAGCAUU